AUCCCAUGAUAAGGACAGGCGAAUAUGUACUCUUAGAGUCUCUCCCAACCUUCCGAGAUGGAUUCCUUCCCCAUCUGCUGGAAACUUGAAAUUCUCCCGCACAGGGC